AUUGAACGCUGGCGGCAUGCCUUACACAUGCAAGUCGAACGGUAACGCGGGGCAACCUGGCGACGAGUGGCGAACGGGUGAGUAAUGUAUCGGAACGUGCCCAGUUGUGGGGGAUAACUGCUCGAAAGAGCAGCUAAUACCGCAUACGACCUGAGGGUGAAAGCGGGGGAUCGCAAGACCUCGCGCAAUUGGAGCGGCCGAUAUCAGAUUAGGUAGUUGGUGGGGUAAAGGCCCACCAAGCCAACGAUCUGUAGCUGGUCUGAGAGGACGACCAGCCACACUGGGACUGAGAAACGGCCCAGACUCCUACGGGAGGCAGCAGUGGGGAAUUUUGGACAAUGGGCGCAAGCCUGAUCCAGCCAUGCCGCGUGCGGGAAGAAGGCCUUCGGGUUGUAAACCGCUUUUGUCAGGGAAGAAACGCUCUGGGUUAAUACCUCGGGGUAAGGACGGUACCUGAAGAAUAAGCACCGGCUAACUACGUGCCAGCCGCCGCAGUAACAC
rnacentral:rRNA from 1 species